GGGUCAUUGAUUGACUCGGUAAAGCACUUGUCUAUCGAAUAAGGGUCGUGAGUUUAAAUCUCACCUGAGCUG
rnacentral:tRNA from 1 species